rnacentral:lncRNA from 1 species
AACAUUGCGAAUGCCGAUUUAAAAAAAAUAAACAAUGAUAAACGUUUCACAUUAGAAUUAACAGUCUAUCGAGUGAUCAUAUGGUACGAUGGGCGCCAAAAAAUUAUCAUCUAUUGUGCUAACAAGACCUGUCGGCUCUGAAUAUGCUGUGAAUAGCCCAAAACAUCCGGGUUGACGUCAUUUCGACACGUACAAUGAUCAGAUGAUAUAGAAAUAGUAGGCAUCGAAAACAACGAUUGUCCACAAAACGCUUGAUUUAGCAAUGGUCUGUGUUGAUGCUAUUUUCUCUGAAAGCAAACUGUCUGUAAUCUGCAGCCAUUCAGCUACUGUUCCAGAAACUUGAAGGCGUAAAAAGUGAGCUGCCAUUACCACAGUACCU